UACGUAGGGGGCAAGCGUUGUCCGGAAUUAUUGGGCGUAAAGAGCGUGUAGGCGGUCCGGUAAGUCGGCUGUGAAAGUCCAGGGCUCAACCCUGGGAUGCCGGUCGAUACUGCCGGACUAGAGUUCGGAAGAGGCGAGUGGAAUUCCCGGUGUAGCGGUGAAAUGCGCAGAUAUCAGGAAGAACACCCGUGGCUAAGGCGGCUCUCUAGUACGGUACUGACGCUGAGACGCGAAAGCGUGGGGAGCGAACAGG
rnacentral:rRNA from 1 species